rnacentral:lncRNA from 1 species
CUAAUUAUGAACGCUCGCCUUUAUAACAAACACAGCGAAUCCAUCAACAAGAAGCCGUUCCAGACAGUACCUUACUUACAAUGUGCAUUUUAUAUAUAUUCGGCAAUAUCUACAGAAAAUCACACAUCGCUCGCUUGCUCUCAAGUAUCCAGAACCCUCAAACAAAUCACUUCCCUUUUCAGAUUUCCAUCACCUCCAAUGCAUCUAAUCCCCCCUUCCUCCCAAACGCAGGUGACUACACAUCCGUCAAUUUAUAUCUCAUAGCUUCUACAUUCGAUGCCAUCCCGUGCACGCCACCAAACAGACUCAGUUCCUCCACGACGGCGGCGGCUUUUGCUGCAUAUGCAUUCCUGUAGUCGUAGUCGCCGACUGGUCCUGACUUUCUGCCUGAAAGGGCUUGUUGAUCUAUCUGGUUGUUGUUUUGGAGUUACGUCUUCGCAGGAAGAAGAAGAAGGGGCGGAGACUGCUGCGACGCCGACGCCGGCUGAGAGGCCCGAUAAUGUUGACGAAGACGAGGUGUUCCGAGGGGGUGGAGGGGAGGGGGUUGUAGCGGCUGGUGAUGGGUCGGUCGUUGUCGUGGCAGUAGGCAAUGAGGUUUGUGGUUGUAGAGGUGAUAAGGGGCUAUGAAAAGUAGCCCGGCAACUGGAGUCAGUUUGGACGGGUCGUUAACCUCGAGUUCAUCGUAGUAGAGACAAGGCUAGUUUGGAGGUUAUUCAAGAUAAAGAUGAUCAGCUGGAAUCCUUGAUAGUGGCAUUCAUGGGUCAAGGGAUUUUCUCGAUGACUGGACUCCUAAGAGUCAUGAGAACUCUCCUGCAAUGGCCAGCCGUCCAGCAGAGAAAAAGAAGAGCGCCAGUGAAAGAACCGCUCUGCACCGUUCUGCGACUGAGGGUGUCGAUGCUAUUACUCCCUCCGAAUCGUUGAGAAGCAUGGAUGCCGGAAAUGAGAGGAUGACUUAUUCAUAGGGGUCACAUUAGUCUGCAAUCCUUGGAGUAUAUCUUCCACAUACCCCUAUCAUGACGGGCAGCUCAUAUUGUUAUUCUCAGAUUGCGGAUCUGCUAGAAAACAGUAAUGUGCUCACGAUGUAGGAAAGCAUGCCUCUUGACGAUGCUCACCCCAAUGAUCCAGGAUUACUACUGGGGCCUUGUGGAUAUGGAACGAGGUCAGAAAUCCUCACCGCUAUCCCGUCGCGGGCAGUGAUCGACUGAUUAUUCGGCUUUGGGUGAGUUUCGAAUAUCUUUUCUUGUCUAUAUUGUGUUUGCUUUCUUCCUUCAGAUAUUCCUUGAAGACCAAGCUGUCCGACAUGUCUCUCAUCUCAUUAGGGUCAUCAGUGCUUACAACAUCAACAGGAUCCGUGCAGGAUAUUGUCUUUGUGACGCCGUCACCAGAUUUAAAUUCCUAUAGUACAGCGUCACUACGUCCUCAACCUUCAUUAGGAAAUUCAAUCGAAGAAGAGAAUAUUCCAGAUCAACAUACACAUCUCCCCGCUUAUGAAUUGAGUAAGGUUUUGAGCGUCGAUGCCAAUUACCCUGCCAACCUUGUCCGUUGGGGGGGGGGGGGGGGAAACUUUAUGGUAGUGAAAAAAGUAGAAUCAACCAUGUCGUGCGCUCAUAGGGGCUGAGCAAUAUAUGGGAAAGUAUGCAAAAGCAUUGAUGAAUUGCUUGGCCUUUCGCAGUAAAAUUGGUCCGGUAAAUUUGAUUUUGAUAUCUGAUCCUCAGAGUGCUGCCUAGGCAUUUGCUAGAGUACAAUCGAAUUACCGGUUAAUCCGAAGGCCAUAUAGCUGCUCUCGAUCUUAUUGGAUGAUACCUAUCCCUCAUAAAGGAGGUAUGCAGUCACACUCGCUCGCAUUGAGAUAACUAUCCCCUGCCAACAAGAACCAUUAUAUCAGCCAUGACACUCACGGCAAUCAGAAGCCAAUAGCAAUUGGAGGCUCGUCACCGUUCAAUCAAAUAGAAGCACGGAAAUUUACAAAGCGAUGCUUAGACUCAAUAACUACGUACUCGUUGAACUUACAGAGUAGAGGUAGCGGCCCUAAAACUUAAUCGGGAAGAUUCUUCCAAGAUCAUUCCUUCGAACUUUGUGCGAGGCUUCUUCAUUGUGGCAUGAUCGUGCACCUGGGAAGUGUAAACCGGAUCAGGAAAAAUGGGGUGGUGGUCUGAGGGGGAUUGCCUCAGGUCGAUUCGACAUGCGACAUGGAGGGCUUCUGGCAAAACCUUCUGGCAAACCUUCUGGCAAACCUUCUGGCAAGUGAUGCUUUUCGGGAUCUCCAUCAGAAUCGGCGAGUUCCCUUGAUUAAAAACCUUAACCCCUCUUUCCCCUUACUUGUAGUCUCGUAGAUAUGAGAACUUGGCCGGCCUUAAAAACCUUAAUUGCCUCCAGCUUCUACAAGUAAAUUAACAUUCACUGAUUCAGUAAAGAGCAGCACACUCCCACCGCGAUUUUGUCAAACCUUAACCGCCUCGAGGCAACAGAUUGAUUAUUCCAGAAACUUGCCGCAUUUGAUAGAGUCUGACCACCCCAUGGAACCGGCCCCCGUGGUAGUUAGUUAUAUACGUAGUAUAUACUCUGUAGAGAUGUGAUGUGAAUGACCAGCCAUUCUGUGGGUACAACACGGUCAUGUGGCUACCUGGAGUUCUGAACAGUUUCGAACCUUCGAUUCAGGAUUACCACUACAUAGUACAGCGCAAAAAAGCUUAGAACCCAAAAAUGGAGAGUCCUUUUCUCCGCAACUUGAUAAGUACGUACAGUCAUGGUUGACUCAUCUUAGUACGUACGUAUUGUGUGUUUCACUCCAGACUCCACUGGCGUGAUUGAAGCGUUGUUGAUCCCGUCCCCAUACGUACUGACUCGUAAGGCGAAUUCGUAUCCAGCUCACCGAGUUUAAUUGAAAAACGAUACAAUCGGUAGGUUAUCAAACACGAGCCGAGCUACCGGCAUCACAGGGAAGCUCGGUACUCACCGGGUUGCAUUUUGAUAAGGGCCGGAGUUGGCAACGUUUGUCAAGCACGCCGCCGCCGCCGUCCAGCAGGUCUCGAAACAAGAUGUGUUAACUAGCUAGUUAACUCGACCGGGCUACUUAACUUACUCUUAGUACUUAACUAAGUUACUAACGGCUCUGACUAUUGAUCGUUAGCGUUCAAGUAUCCACUCAAGUGUCCAUUUGGCUAGGAAGCAAGCGGCUAGUACUGACUAGUUAACCGUCUAACGUUUGUAGUGCUUGGUGCGAGGAGCUCCAAGUCUACGCAAUUUACGAAGGUUUUGAAAAGCGUCAAAAUCAUACUAGUUUCCAUUGGCUCCAAAAAAGACAUAGGGAAUGCAACCUUGGGACAACAAAUCAUCACCAAGUCAUCAACCCCACCAUCGGCAGAUGUUGCCGAUUUUUGUUAACAAGGUCUGCCAAAGGGCCCCCCCCCCGGCUGAAGGAUUAAUCCUCUUCGUCCUUCCUACGAGUUCUCGGUCCGUGGAAUCUGACCGUUCUGACCUCCUGAAUCUGACUCCUCCGUAUUUGUUGAGUGAUGUGCCAACAAUAUUCUGGAAUGUUCUUGUUGGGAUUUGGCUUUGGAUCUGGCUUUUUUCCUUCCCCGGACUUUUUCGAUGGUUCCAUAAAAAACAACUAAAAGUAGUCUAAUCAUAUUGCUUUCCUCGCGAGUCUAUGGAGUACAGAGUUGAUUAGCUCAACGACUGGUAAAGUCAAGAUUGUGUAAUUACGUUACUACAAGUCUAGUACGAGUACUCAAUCAGAUCGAUCAAUGCUCACUUAAGAAGUGAAGUGACUUAACACUGAACAGACAGCCAACUUUAGCCCUAGCGCCAGUCUGCUAUGCCCACUAACCCCUCUUCAGCAUAUGCCAAGGAGACAUUUGAUUUUGGAAUUGGAAAAAGGAUACGCACUUUCACGUGCAAGAAACGAUGUCAAGGACGAUUCUGGUGAAUGCCAUGCAUUAGUGUGUCUGGCAGGCCCGCGCACGGUGCUCAUCUCCAUGGAUUCUUACAGAGUACUGCAACUAUUGCGGUCUCUGAGUGAAGGAUUGAUACAUGGAUUGUGGCGAGUGCGUUAUUUUCUUCGUCUUCCCCAAC